rnacentral:rRNA from 1 species
UACGGGGGGGGCAAGCGUUGUUCGGAAUUACUGGGCGUAAAGGUCUCGUAGGCGGCCAACUAAGUCGGACGUGAAAUCCCCAGGCUCAACCUGGGAACUGCGUCUGAUACUGGAUGGCUUGAAUCCGGGAGAGGGAUGCAGAAUUCCAGGUGUAGCGGUGAAAUGCGUAGAUAUCUGGAGGAAUACCGGUGGCGAAGGCGGCAUCCUGGACCGGCAUUGACGCUGAGGAGCGAAAGCCAGGGGAGCAAACGGG